rnacentral:tRNA from 1 species
UGCCCCGUCGUCUAAUGGCAGGACAGCAGACUCUGGAUCUGCGUGUAUUGGUUCGACUCCAGUCGGGGCAG